UCUCCGUAGGUGAACCUGCGGAGGGAUCAUUACAGAGUUCAUUCCCUACCGGGUAGAUCUCCCACCCUAUGUUAUUAUUACUUUGUUGCUUUGGCGGGCCGUUAGGCUCCGGCCCGACUACCGGCCCCGGCUGGUAAGCGCCCGCCAGAGGACCCAAAACCCUGAAUAUUAGUGUCGUCUGAGUACUAUAUGAUAGUUAAAACUUUCAACAACGGAUCUCUUGGUUCUG
rnacentral:misc_RNA from 1 species